GAGGCCCUGGGGACAAGGAUGUGGGUGGACUUGAUCAAAUUCCCUGACUCAAGUUAAGUCUAGCUAUUGACUCGACUCGACUUAAACCAAUGACUCGACUUGAUUCGAGUGAAACUGCUGACUCGACUCGACUCGACUCGAGUGAAGCCACUGACCCGACUCGACUCGAUCAGAAACCGAAAUGACUCGACUCGUGACUCGACCUUUGAGUGACUCGACUCGUGACUCGACCUAUAGGUGACUCGUUACAAC